rnacentral:pre_miRNA from 1 species
GACAUACUCCCCCCGUCCAACAAAAGAUGUCUCAAGUUUGUCAAAAUUUGAAUGUAUCUAGAUACCACUUAGUGUAUAGAUGCAUUCAAAUUUAGUCACUUUGUUGGACGGAGGGAGUAUAAC